rnacentral:rRNA from 1 species
GAUUAAGUUAUUAAGGGCGCACGGUGGAUGCCUUGGCACUAGAAGCCGAUGAAGGACGUUACUAACGACGAUAUGCUUUGGGGAGCUGUAAGUAAGCUUUGAUCCAGAGAUUUCCGAAUGGGGAAACCCAGCAUGAGUUAUGUCAUGUUAUCGAUAUGUGAAUACAUAGCAUAUCAGAAGGCACACCCGGAGAACUGAAACAUCUUAGUACCCGGAGGAAGAGAAAGAAAAUUCGAUUCCCUUAGUAGCGGCGAGCGAAACGGGAAGAGCCCAAACCAACAAGCUUGCUUGUUGGGGUUGUAGGACACUCUAUACGGAGUUACAAAGGACGACAUUAGACGAAUCAUCUGGAAAGAUGAAUCAAAGAAGGUAAUAAUCCUGUAGUCGAAAAUGUUGUCUCUCUUGAGUGGAUCCUGAGUACGACGGAGCACGUGAAAUUCCGUCGGAAUCUGGGAGGACCAUCUCCUAAGGCUAAAUACUCUCUAGUGACCGAUAGUGAACCAGUACCGUGAGGGAAAGGUGAAAAGCACCCCGGAAGGGGAGUGAAAUAGAACCUGAAACCGUGUGCUUACAAGUAGUCAGAGCCCGUUAAUGGGUGAUGGCGUGCCUUUUGUAGAAUGAACCGGCGAGUUACGAUUUGAUGCAAGGUUAAGCAGUAAAUGUGGAGCCGUAGCGAAAGCGAGUCUGAAUAGGGCGUUUAGUAUUUGGUCGUAGACCCGAAACCAGGUGAUCUACCCUUGGUCAGGUUGAAGUUCAGGUAACACUGAAUGGAGGACCGAACCGACUUACGUUGAAAAGUGAGCGGAUGAACUGAGGGUAGCGGAGAAAUUCCAAUCGAACCUGGAGAUAGCUGGUUCUCUCCGAAAUAGCUUUAGGGCUAGCCUCAAGUGAUGAUUAUUGGAGGUAGAGCACUGUUUGGACGAGGGGCCCCUCUCGGGUUACCGAAUUCAGACAAACUCCGAAUGCCAAUUAAUUUAACUUGGGAGUCAGAACAUGGGUGAUAAGGUCCGUGUUCGAAAGGGAAACAGCCCAGACCACCAGCUAAGGUCCCAAAAUAUAUGUUAAGUGGAAAAGGAUGUGGCGUUGCCCAGACAACUAGGAUGUUGGCUUAGAAGCAGCCAUCAUUUAAAGAGUGCGUAAUAGCUC